GACGAACGCUGGCGGCGUGCUUAACACAUGCAAGUCGAACGGAAAGGCCCUGCUUGCCGGGUACUCGAGUGGCGAACGGGUGAGUAACACGUGGGUGAUCUGCCCUGCACUUCGGGAUAAGCCUGGGAAACUGGGUCUAAUACCGGAUAGGAGCCAUUUUUAGUGUGAUGGUUGGAAAGUUUUUUCGGUGUAGGAUGAGCUCGCGGCCUAUCAGCUUGUUGGUGGGGUAAUGGCCUACCAAGGCGGCGACGGGUAGCCGGCCUGAGAGGGUGGACGGCCACAUUGGGACUGAGAUACGGCCCAGACUCCUACGGGAGGCAGCAGGGGGGAAGAUUGCACAAUGGGCGCAAGCCUGAUGCAGCGACGCCGCGUGGGGGAUGACGGCCUUCGGGUUGUAAACUCCUUUCGCUAGGGACGAAGCUUUUUGUGACGGUACCUAGAUAAGAAGCACCGGCUAACUACGUG
rnacentral:rRNA from 1 species